GCCUGAUGCAGCAACGCCGCGUGAGGGACGACGGCCUUCGGGUUGUAAACCUCUUUUAGCAAGGAAGAAGCGAAAGUGACGGUACUUGCAGAAAAAGCGCCGGCUAACUACGUGCCAGCAGCCGCGGUAAUACGUAGGGCGCAAGCGUUAUCCGGAAUUAUUGGGCGUAAAGAGCUCGUAGGCGGUUUGUCGCGUCUGCUGUGAAAACUGGGGGCUCAACCCCCAGCCUGCAGUGGGUACGGGCAGACUAGAGUGCGGUAGGGGAGAUUGGAAUUCCUGGUGUAGCGGUGGAAUGCGCAGAUAUCAGGAGGAACACCGAUGGCGAAGGCAGAUCUCUGGGCCGUAACUGACGCUGAGGAGCGAAAGGGUGGGGAGCAAACAGGCUUAGAUACCCUGGUAGUCCACCCCGUAAACGUUGGGAACUAGUUGUGGGGUCCAUUCCACGGAUUCCGUGACGCAGCUAACGCAUUAAGUUCCCCGCCUGGGGAGUACGGCCGCAAGGCUAAAACUCAAAGGAAUUGACGGGGACCCGCACAAGCGGCGGAGCAUGCGGAUUAAUUCGAUGCAACGCGAAGAACCUUACCAAGGCUUGACAUAUACAAGAACGCUGCAGAAAUGUAGAACUCUUUGGACACUC
rnacentral:rRNA from 1 species